rnacentral:rRNA from 1 species
UCCUAUGGAAAUCCUGAGUUGAAGCCCAAUCCUGUCUGAUCUCGGAAGCUAAGCAGGAUUGGGCUUGGUUAGUACUUGGAUGGGAGACCAGCUUGGAAGACCAGGGGCUAUAGGCG